rnacentral:lncRNA from 1 species
CCCUCUUACCUCCAGGAAGUGAGGAGAUGGCUGCUCCUUGCCAAGACAGCGCGGUCAGGUUGCUGGCACACACUGGGCAGGCAAGGAGGUUGUGUCCAAGGUUGGCAGGAGUGAUGCUUCUUCAAGUGCAUGUGGCAUUUCAAGUCAGUCACCACUUGAGAAAGUCACAGGAAAGGAGAGCAGGGCAGCAGAUGAAAUGUUUGCAAGGAAAGCAGAAUGAUAUGCAAAGAUGAGAUUAAGCAGAUGUUUCAGGUCUACAUUACAAUUCAGACAGAAAUCUAAAUCAGCUGAAGACAUCAGAACAAAAUGCGUUGUAAGUGUUUCUGUGCUAUCAAUUACUCAAGGAAUAUUUACAGGAUGCGUGACACCAUAACAAAGAACUGCUUAGCAGAAUCCAAUUAAAAUCCAGAUCUCACCCA